UCCAAUCUGAUAUUUACCAAAACAUUGUCAAAUUAUCAGAUUGGACCUUCGGUUGUCCAUCGGUUUAAUUAUUAAUUUUAAAGAUUUAAAUUUAUUUCUAAGGUAUAUAUCCGAUCUGAUAUCUGACACGAAAGACACGCUGUUAAGGACCCGCUUCAGAAACAGUAAACAGGUCAUCAACAAUCGGAUCCCACCAAAGGGAAGCCUACGGAAGGGUAGCACCCCCCCGGGGACGAGUUCGGCAGCACAGAAGGGAAUGUUAACUCCGGAGAAAAAUUGGACUGGUUCUGGAAAAAGAAAAUGAUAUCGCGGUACGUCAAGAUGAAGGAAAGUUUGAAGAAACGCUGUGAAGAUAUGGAUGAAGCGACGAGCGCACUGCGGGUGAUCAAUCCGGUGGCCCUGCUGGACAAGAAAGCCAAUAUCGAGCGAGUGUUGCUCGAGGGCGAGAAUGACUUCCAGUUUUGCCCGAGGGAAAUGUAACCGGAUUUGAAAAACAAGGCAUUUGACAAGAGCUGAGUGGGACCAAAUUCGAAGGACUAUGGGAAAACCAAGAUGUUGUUCGGUAGCCGUUUUAGAGGAGGAACGUCGUGAGUUGGAACGCAAGCGGCGUAAGAUUAAGCUACUGCAGUCCAAGCAAUCAGAAGAGCUUUCUUUUGUUCGGAAUCUUCCCAAUGAUAUUCCUCAACAGCUUUCGGUAGGCACUAAGGUGACGGCUCCUUUGCGUUCUCCUCAGGAUGGUCUGUUAACGUAAACCAUAGAGGCGAUUGAUGUGAUGUCCAGUUAAUAUCGGGUGUGUUUCGAUCGACCCGAUUUGAAUGCCCUUUACGAUUCCAGACUUCGAGAUUAUAGCCAAUGAUAAUCCGGAAAAGAUUGCUCUGUACUCUAUCACGAAAGACUUCCGACAUAAGUAUCAGAAUGCUUCACUCUAUGUCGCUUCACCUGCCGUAAAAACCUCAUCACUGGUAUCGCUGGCGAUCCUUUGUUUGCGAGGUAACAGUUAUUCGAAGAUUUCCGGUAUGCCCGAGAUCAAUAUGCUUUUCUCGAAAUAUAACAUUCCCGGAUAAGUUACUUUGGUGAUUAUUCGAACAAAUAAAGUAUCCGUCGUCCCGAUGCCACUGCUGGCGGGCGGAAAAGUCGGAAACCCCGGUUCGACAUUACUCCGAAAUUUUCACCUUUUUUUAUCUCUAAGGAUGUGGAUUCAAAAAUGGAAGGUGUAUACACAGUAUUAGCUGCUAUAAUGCAAGACGGGACUGCCCUGCAACAGACGGGAUACUCUGUUAGAUGUUAAAUGUAUGUAUUCAAGUAUCAGAUCCUAUCAGCAAAGCUAUCAAUGUCCUGUACAUGACGCGAUUUCUUGUCGAAAUACAUACACCGAUCCAAUAUGCAACAAGUUAAUGUUGAAGAAUAUGAAUAUUCGCUGAAUUACGCAUGAUCCUCUGUACUAUCCACCUAAAACUAGCUUUCUUUUUCAAAGUUUGAGUAAUUUUCAUUCAAGGUCCUAUGUGAAUUUGAUU